rnacentral:sRNA from 3 species
UGUAUUUCCGCAAGGGGAAGGAUGAGAAGCUUCGACUAAGGUUCGAUUCGAGCGCAGCGAGAAAGCGUUGCCGCAGGCAACGCGCCGAGUAAUCCUUCCCCCACCACCA